UGACCGCUCCAAAAAGCCAAAACCCGCCUCGCCGUCGUCGCCAAACGCCUCCAUAACCACCAUAAAGAAGAGAAAUCUCUCUCUCUCUCUCUCUCCGAUUCGGUCCAUCUCUCAACAGGUUUCGCCUCUGUUCAUCGUCACUGACGUCCGCCGAGAAAAGCGGGCCAUAGACAAUGGAAGGAGCGAGCGAAAGAGAGCGCGAGUUCACUCUCGUUGCUAGGAAGCCAUGCUUCGGCCUCCCGACGGCUUGCCCUCAUUGCUUGCCCGUCUUCAUCUACCUCAAGCUCGCGAAGAUUCCCUUCCGCUUGGACUUCAAUCUGACCUUCCCCGAUUCUGAUCAAGUUCCCUAUGUCGAGUCCGGUGCUUAUGUGGCUUAUAAUAAUGAGAAAGGUGGCGUAAUUGAGAGUUUGAAAGAAGAUGGUAUUGUUGAUUUGGACUUGGAACUCCGAUCACUUCCUGAAUUUAUCUCAUCGAAGGCCAUGAUCAGCUCAUGGCUGGAAGAAGCAAUCAUCUAUGAGCUAUGGCUGGGGUCUGAUGGAACUUCUGCUCACAACAUAUAUUAUGCUGAUCUUCCGUGGCCAGUAGGGAAAUUGCUCUACUUAAAGCAGAUCCGCUCUGUUAAGCAGCGUUUGGGGAUCACUAAAGACAAUGCAGAACGAAGGGAAGCAGAGAUAUACAGGAGAGCAAACAUUGCAUAUGAAGCGUUGUCUAUUAUGUUAGGAGAAGAUGAUUUUUUCUUUGGAAGGCCAUCAAGUUUGGAUGCGAUUUUUCUGGGGCAUGCACAUUUUACUCUUCAAGCCUUACCCGAAAUAUCUUUGCUGCGAAACAGGCUUGUGGAGCAUGGCAAUCUAGUCCGGUAUGCUGAGAAACAUAAGUCAGAGUGUCUAGAAGCUGGUUCAUCAUCAUCCUCUGACAUGCAUUUUCCUCCAAGCUCUUCAGCAUCUGCUCCGAGACAAGGUCCUUCACAUUGGAGUUCCAAGCACAAGAGCAAGCCAAAGAGAGAGAAAACAGAGGAAGAGAAAACAUUCAGGAAAAGAGCCAAGUAUUUUCUAGCAGCGCAAUUUACUGCAGUUUUGCUUUUUCUUACCAUUAUGCGGAGAUCAGAUGAUAAUGAACUGGACCUUGAUGACGACGAUGGUGAUUUGGAUUAUGAAUGAACAGUACAUAUACUGACUCGUGUACGAGGAUCAUCAACAUCAUGUACUCUGUUGCUCACCAAGGAAACACUAGUGCUGAAGAAUAUAUUCUCGAAGUAGCAAAGAGGGUCACCUUCGAUCCUUGGUAUAGAAAGAUAUUCUCUUUGUAACUUCAGGUUUUGGGGGCAGUUGUGACAGGUUCCGGUCUAUUGUAGUUCUGGGUCGUUGGACGAUAAGGUGGUCCUAUUCCUGGAGAUGAUCACUGCACUGGAGAACUCUGCCUCCCCUCUGGUUUGAGGUUGGUGCGCUUCAGGCUGAAUCAUAUCUUCUCUGCCCGCGAUCUACUCAUUGAAUUGUCUGCACGCGCAUUUGUCUGUCAUUAGAAUUUGAUGAAUCAUGCUCCAUUGUCGGAUCGACUUUAAUGAAGCUAUUAAAGAACAGGCAACCUCUUGAAUGAGGGGACCAUUGGGAUUUCAAAUGGAAGUUGCCAAUGUCCGCUUGUGUAAAAAGAAUCACUCGAUAACGUGGAAGGCGUCGUAUACC